rnacentral:tRNA from 1 species
GCCCCGUUCGUCUAGUGGCCUAGGACUCCGGAUUUUCAUUCCGGCAACAGGAGUUCAAUUCUCCUACGGGGUGCCA